AGUGAACGCUGGCGGUAGGCCUAACACAUGCAAGUCGAACGGCAGCACAGUAAGAGCUUGCUCUUACGGGUGGCGAGUGGCGGACGGGUGAGGAAUACAUCGGAAUCUACUUUUUCGUGGGGGAUAACGUAGGGAAACUUACGCUAAUACCGCAUACGACCUACGGGUGAAAGCAGGGGAUCUUCGGACCUUGCGCGAUUGAAUGAGCCGAUGUCGGAUUAGCUAGUUGGCGGGGUAAAGGCCCACCAAGGCGACGAUCCGUAGCUGGUCUGAGAGGAUGAUCAGCCACACUGGAACUGAGACACGGUCCAGACUCCUACGGGAGGCAGCCGUGGGGAAUAUUGGACAAUGAGCGCAAGCCUGAUCCAGCCAUACCGCGUGGAUGAAGAAGGCCUUCGGGUUGUAAAGCCCUUUUGUUGGGAAAGAAAAGCAGCAGGUUAAUACCCCGCUGUUCUGACGGUACCCAAAGAAUAAGCACCGGCUAACUUCGUG
rnacentral:rRNA from 1 species